rnacentral:rRNA from 1 species
UACGUAGGGAGCAAGCGUUGUCCGGAAUCAUUGGGCGUAAAGCGCGCGUAGGUGGCUUCGUAAGUCCGUUGUGAAAGUCAAAGGCUCAACCUUUGAAAGCCGAUGGAUACUGCGGAGCUAGAGUACGGAAGAGGCGAGUGGAAUUCCUGGUGUAACGGUGGAAUGCGCAGAUAUCAGGAGGAACACCAAUAGCGAAGGCAGCUCGCUGGGACGUUACUGACACUGAGGCGCGAAAGCGUGGGGAGCGAACAGG